AUCCGAAGAGGGUACGUGCCCUCGAAGCU
rnacentral:guide_RNA from 1 species